GUUCUUGAGGUGUAAUAUGCACAUUAGGUUUUCAUCCUAAAGGUAUAAAAUAAUUUAUCUAGAACAA
rnacentral:tRNA from 1 species